rnacentral:rRNA from 1 species
AUUGAACGCUGGCGGCAGGCUUAACACAUGCAAGUCGAGCGAGCGGCGGACGGGUGAGUAAUGUCUGGGAAACUGCCUGAUGGAGGGGGAUAACUACUGGAAACGGUAGCUAAUACCGCAUACCAUCAGAUGUGCCCAGAUGGGAUUAGCUAGUAGGUGAGGUAAUGGCUCACCUAGGCGACGAUCCCUAGCUGGUCUGAGAGGAUGAUCAGCAACACGGGGACUGAGACACGGCCCCGACUCCUACGGUAGGAAGCAGUGGGGAAUAUUGCACAAUGGGCGAAAGCCUGAUGCAGCCAGGCCGCGUGUAUGAAGAAGGCCCUAGGGUUGUAAAGUACUUUCAGUCGGGAGGCGUUACCGACAGAAGAAGCACCGGCUAACUCCGUGCCAGCCGCCGCGGUAAUAC